rnacentral:lncRNA from 1 species
GGGGAGCACAUGGUGCCUUCUGACCAACAGCAGAUAGUGAAAGUCCUCAGGACUCCUGGGAACAAUCUGCAUGAAGUAGAGACAGCACAAGGGCAGCGCUUCCUGGUGAGCAUGCCCUCCAAAUACCGCAAGAACAUCUGGAUCAAGAGAGGUUAGAAACAUCCCUCUACAGUCAGAACCAUGGCCUUGAUUUCCCCUCCACAGCAGGAGUGGCUUUAUCCUUUAUCACCUACAGGGGACUUCCUCAUUGUUGACCCUAUUGAAGAAGGAGAAAA